ensembl:snRNA U6 U6 spliceosomal RNA
GUGCUCGUUUCGGCAGCAUAUGUACUAAAAUUGGAAUGAAACAGAGAUUAGCAUGGCCCCUGCGCAAGGAGGACAGGCAAAUUUGUGAAACAUUCCAUAUUUUU